CUACCUUAGGUGGUGUCUGUGACAGUGAAGUUGGUGGCAGUUGGAAAAGAGGUACCCUCAGUCACCAAGACUGUAUUGGCCACCAGAGUACCAGGUAGCUGUCUUACCAGGCCAGACCAGACCAGCUCAGCAGCAGCCGCAGCUUUUCGUCCCACUGCGUCUCCUCCCUCACUGCUGCUUCAUUGAUAAGCUGCUACUACAGUACAAACCAAUGACAUCACCACAGUCCUGCAAUGUCUGCACCUGUAUCUUGGAGAUAAUUCCAGCAAAUUCUUCCUCAGCAGCUCAGAUUCGGACUCUGCAUGUGACUUCACCCAGGUGCCUAUUGGGGUUCUUAGAAUCAUGACUGAGGACACGCCACCCUUGAUUAACAGCAUUGCAAUCAUCCUUGAAGGAAACAUUGUGAUUCCCACAACCUCUCAAGCACUCUUCCUGUCGGCUUAAUGUAUGCACCCCAUCUGGAUUACAAAGGUAUGAAGAACACAUUUGAGUUCAUCCAGAAGAUGUUGUUGAACCUCGGACAACAGAAUAUGAUGUUUAGUAUUAGAGUUUAGUGUGCUUCUGCAACAAAGUUGUUAAAGAGCUGACUUACAUUUUAUGCUGCUUUGAAGGUGUAUGUAUAAGUACAGUUCUAUGUAAUAAUCCAGUUUUAAUUAUAAGGUUUUAUUCAGAUUUUAAAUUUUUACAAACUAAAUGUUGCCAAGUCUGUCUGUUGCUGUGAGACAUUCAGGAAAGUGUCCAUUGUGAAUCAAGGGCCUUCUGUUAGCUUAUACCCAGACUAGUCAGUACACCUCACUCAUGCUCAUUCUCACUUUUAGGUCUCACUCAUACUCACUGACAUACACUUUCUGUCUCUCUCCCAAACACAUAAUAUUGAGGAAAUAAUUUAGAGAAAGGCAUAACUUAGCAGGAAUCUGAAGCAAUCGGCAAACUACAAGGAAAUAUUUUACUAUUAUUCAAAUUACAGUAUAUGUAUUUUUUUGAUAGAGGUCAAAUUUGGUAAAUCCCAUUAAAAACUAAGUAUAUGUGGUGCUAAAGAGAUAUUCUGACCUUUUAUUCACUUAUCCCCCCAAUUGUUCAGCCAAACUCAACCUUUGAUUAUCUCUUUCUAGACAAGUUUACAAAUGAACAGCAUGUUGAUUAUUAUUGUUGUUUACAGAUACUGAAAUAAAAAAAACAUGUUUGUAAUGCCAUUUUGUGAAUUCUUAUUUUUAAGUUAGCUAAACUAAGGUAUGUUAAGGGCAUUUGUUUAAAAUUAAGUACUGCUCACUUUCUUUGGCACAGUAUAUUAAGUUAAUGUGACUUAUCUUUAUUGAGUUUCUGUCAACUUUAUUGAAGUUACAAUAAAAUACCUCAAGUGAAAUAUAUUACAAAUUUCAAGUGAUGUCCGCUUGUUUUGGCAGAAUAUAUUAAGUUAACGUGACACAGUAUUUGAGUUGUAACAACUUGAUUUGAAUUUAACUGUACUGAGAUAUAUUAAGUUCUUACAACUUCAAAAACAAGUAAAGCUCACUUAAAUAAAAUAAUUUCACACUACUUCACACAAUUAAGUGUUUACUUACUUUUCUCAAGGUAAUCGGUUUCCUAAAUUUCUUUAAGUAAACUCAACUUGUCAGAAUUUACAGUGCAGCAGAGUGUGAGGAUAAAAUAAAAUAAAAAGACAUAGUAAAGAACAUAAUUUAUUUGAGACAAAACCUAAAGCAGAAAUAAAUACAUGAACGAUCAACAAUGUGUGAAAUUUACUUGGUGAACCCAAAUAAUAAACACUUGGUAAUGGUAACAAACAGAAGAAACAAUGCCUCCGUAGGCCACUGAAUUCUGAGCAUCAACUUCAGCUUCUUAACAGACCAGAUGGGACCAUUUAAAAAAAAAUCAAAACAAAAAUGGCUUAUCUGCAACUGAUUUGUAAAACACUUUUUCAAAACCGACUUAAGCCAUCAUGCACCCCAAUAACAAAACAAAAGACAUGUUUGCAGGCCAAUAUGUGUAAUAAAUACAAAACAAAGAUAAACCAAUCAAUAAAAACAGUCAUUAGGACAAAUUAGAUUUUGUUCGAAAGGUAGAUUAACAGAUGGUAGUAGACUGGUAAUGAGCCGAGAAAGUGUGUGGGGGAGGAUUAGAUCAAUUCACCGUACAAAUCAUUUUAAUGGAAACAAUCUAUAAAUUAGGCAGGAUUGAUACAUUCAUUAUGUGCAUAUUCCCCAGCAUUUAAAAACAGACAAAACUAAAGCUAAGACUUUCCACAUCAGGAGCAUAAAAAUGUCAUAUGGUGCUGCUUGACUUUGUAAAAUGUUUCCUGUACAAAACUCAUAGAGCUGGGAUUCAUAAAUUACAGCUCUACGAUCAUAAUAAUAAAUCUAAUGACAAAAUGAAAUGCCAGAGAAACAUCAGAUCACAUAUUCUGGAAUUAAUCUGACAUCACAUACCCUACAUUCCUGAACAGACCGGACAAUCACAUUGGGCCAGUGCUUCACAAGCACAAUGACUAUUUGUGCAUACAUUUCCCACUGGAGAAUUACAGCAUGCAAAGAUGCUGUAAAUAGUUAUGUCCUGUUGUGAACCAGGGCUUGUGAUUCCCUCUUUAUGAAGAUGGAUAUACAGAAAACAGAAGGCCGCAGAGUUGUAGUUCAGGUGUAGUUUCAAAUGCUAGCAGACACCAAAUCUACAGACAUUGGGACAGGGGAACAGAAUCACUUGGCACCAUUUUAAAAAAAAAAAAAAAAAAAAAAAAGGAAACGUGUGUGUGUGUGUAUAUAUAUAUAUAUUUAGAAAUACUCAAUUUUAUCCAUUAGAAAAAAGAAUAACAGAUUUUUCCCCCAAAUGAUUUUAAAAUCAAUGGAUGAGUUGUUUUGUUUUGUUUUUUUUUUAAAAAAGAGAAAGCGACAUGAAGGCAGUAGCUUAUCAACUGUAGCUGACAUCACCUCCUUGUGAUCACAAUGCCCUUCCAGAUUACAGCUGACCUACAGUGAAGAUCCUACACAUGCAGACAGACACACGGACACAAGCACAUAACUUGUCUUAGCCCUAAGUGCUGUCCUCCCUUUAAAUGAUCGCUGCUGCUCAAAAAAGAGCUUAAAAUUCUCUCUUAGCUUCUAAAAUGGCUCAGAUAAAACCAGGGAGGUCACAAUGCAAAUGAAACAUCACAAAUCUGGUGGAACACCGUUCAUUUAAAAAUCUCAGGUUGUCCUUGAUGGUAAGUUCAAUCAGAUACCUUUAAAUACAGCUUCAAGUCAAUGUGAUGACUCCCCAUGAGUCUGACAUCUCCUCUUCCUCCUCUGCAGGCUCUUCUUCAGUUGUCCACUCUAACCCUGGUUAGCUAGACCCAACCAGACGUUCUGGGAAUAAUCCAUGGGCUCCUUCCUCCCUCCUCCUCCUCCUGCAAAAAGAGAUGCAUCGGUCCUUGCCGAAAAAACUGUAAGACUCUCAGACACAUUUGUGGUCCGUUCCAAUGGAAUUUAGACAUUUGAGUAAUACAAGCUAUUUUUGCGUGAACACAAAUACCUUAAAGUUUUGAUCAAAGGACAAACAUUGGGCACAUGCAUGCCAGUUAACAGUUCUCCAAAAAUUUAGGAAAACAGAAGGGAAAAAACACUUGGACUAAUACAAAAUCACACAUUAGCCUCCAUGAACGUCUCCAGAUUCAAAGGUAAUCUGUGAUCUAAAUCUUUACAAAGUAUCCUACUACAUGGAAACUGGCAGUACCUUGACUUGUGAUACAGAUUGAAUACAGAUAGUUGCAUGACUCUGUAUGAAGACCCUGCACAUGCGCACCAACCAAUAAAACUUAACAGCAUGUACCCGGUCAUGCAGAGUGACCCACAACAUUUUUUAUGGAUACGUUGAAAUAUAAUCAUUAACUUGAAGGAGCCUAAGUAACCACUGAAGACGAGGGAAAAACAACAGUCAGACACGCAUGAAGCUUUAAGAGGCUGCACCUUCCAAAGUAAGAAAUAUCAUGAAUCUGAAGAUGUUCAUGGAACAAACUCAUUACUUGAGGAAUUGUUAAAAAAAAAAGCAUUAAAAAGAA